GGUGGCUGAGCCCCAGCGACGCCACAGCCGACUCAUAUACUCAAAUGCAUGUACAUUGCCAACUGUUACCUCCUUCCAUGACCAGUUAUGAAAAAGCCUCUAAAAUGAAGUAAGCAACAUUUAAGGCCUUGCAAUAAUUUUUCUAAUUUUGACCACAAGGCUAUGGGAGCUUUCAGGCAGACAAGCUUGAUCAGAGUAUCAUGACCAAUGUGAUUCAAGGCUUAUCUUUGUUUUAAGGCUAUAUCCAUUUGAAUUUUUGUUGUAUUCUUUAAUAUGACACAAACGUGUGAAUAUGUCUUCUGCCAUGGUAGCCAUUCAACGAAUUGUAGCAGUCAUUUGGGUCAUUUUAGUCAGUCUUAAAAGAUCUGUCUGUCUGAUGUGUAUUGUUUCUGUGUAAAUGUCUUCAUGAAAUAAAAAUUGAAAGAGUUUUCUGCCUUGUG